rnacentral:rRNA from 1 species
UUGUCCGGAUUUACUGGGUGUAAAGGGCGUGUAGCCGGGAGGGCAAGUCAGAUGUGAAAUCCACGGGCUCAACUCGUGAACUGCAUUUGAAACUACUCUUCUUGAGUAUCGGAGAGGCAAUCGGAAUUCCUAGUGUAGCGGUGAAAUGCGUAGAUAUUAGGAGGAACACCAGUGGCGAAGGCGGAUUGCUGGACGACAACUGACGGUGAGGCGCGAAAGCGUGGGGAGCAAACAGGAUUAGAUACCCUGGUAGUCCACGCUGUAAACGAUGAAUACUAGGUGUGCGGGGACUGACCCCCUGCGUGCCGCAGCUAACGCAAUAAGUAUUCCACCUGGGGAGUACGAUCGCAAGGUUGAAACUCAAAGGAAUUGACGGGGGCCCGCACAAGCGGUGGAUUAUGUGGUUUAAUUCGAAGCAACGCGAAGAA